AAUGAUUGGAACUUCAAAUCCACUUGGAAUUGGCAAGCCUCAGCGUUCAGAAGAGAUACAUAGAGAACAGAAAAGACCGUCGUUCUCAGGAGCAGGUCCGCAGCACUGCUCCGAGACACCAGCAGCUAUCAGAACCCUGGUUUUUGGAUGGGAAUUGAAGAGCAGAGGGAGGAAGGGAAGUCUUUCAAGAAGGAAAGGAUUUCCAUUGUUUCCAGGAAACUGCUAAAAUAUGUGCAUGCUGUUCAUUGCUAAAGUCAACAGAUGGGAUCCCCAAAUGUGAGAGAACAUGAUUCAACAGUGACUCCACAGGAAAAAUGGAUGGCUUACUGCAGAUGGGAAGGAAAAGUAUUGCUGUACCCAGUAGA